AUGCUUGUAGGAACACACUGUGAUCAGUGCAGAGACCUGGAAGAGGUAAUGGAGAAGAAGAAAGACAUUGAUGAGAAGGUUAACAUAAUGCUGGCAAACAGAAAGAUGGUUUUAAAGUACCAGAAGAAAAAUCUGGAAGAAAAUACAGACACAUUUCUCUACAUGGAUCAAGUGGAUGAGAUUGAUUCCCUUUUAGACUACAAUUUGAAGGUGUUGGAUCUUCUAACUCUUGACUGCACAAAGAUUGAGGAUAUUGUAAGAUUCAGAAGUCAUAUUUUGAAAUGCAUUCAAUCAGAAAGCGCUUUCUUGUGUUCUGAGACCAUCUUACCACAAAGUUACGAAGAAGUGGAACAAGCCAUCCACACACUUGUUACACUAGAACAGAUUCCUCAACAUGGUAUUAUUCUACUUGAAGAACUUGGUGAUUUAAUAAUGAACCAUGUAACACAGAGCAGAGAGCACCUCCACUCCAUAUUGCAAUUCCUCUUGCGAUAUCUGCACAGAAUUGGGGUUAUUAUUUGGUAUGAAGAUAUUGAUGUGCUAAGUGACCGAGUGUUUAUCCAGCCUUCAUUCCUCAUUUCUAUGUUCAAGACCAUUGUGAGACAUGACCUGGUGCAGCAGCUUGAGGGAAUCUCAAGAGACCUACUCAUGCAAGAAGGAGCUCUAAUGAAACAAAAGUUCAUCUGGGUGGAGGACUUGCGGUCCAGAGGCACCCUGCACAAUGCAGCCCUCCGCAUUUUAGUCCGGAGGGAGUUAGAGAAACUGGUCAUAGAUGAUGAUGACUUGGUCAGAGAGGUAGUAGGAAACAAAAGGGAGGAAGGCAUCAUUCUCACCCUGUUGCAGCACUUUGAGGUUUGCCUCCCAACUCUUGUCAGAAGCCCCAUGAACCCCCAAGCACCAGAGUUCAUUCCAGGAGAAAAGCACUGGGAGUCAGGCAGGGAGUCGAAGAGAGACCCUGAUGGAGCUUGCCUCUUCCCCAUUUAUCUGAAGGAUGACCUCAUAGUAUGUCAGAAAUGGGGUGAGAACAAACAGGAUGAUCUCAGAGUGCACGUGUACAUCCUUCCUGAGGUUCCACAUGGCUUCUUUCACAGACUGAUCAUUAAGACGUGUUCUCUUUACUCGACUCACUGGGUGGGAAAGGAGCAGUGUCUCCUCUGCUGUGGAAACAGACUUGCUCUGUUUAGACAGGGGGACAAUGAUGGAGAUUCGUUUAUAGAGAUACGCUGCCGAAGACCUGAAAAGGAUGAAGAGUUUCGGCAGAUGUGGGAUCUGAUCUUGGCAGUGAUGUCCAAGCUGUUUGGGCUGUCAAGGCAGUGGCCGGGACUGACCCAGCAGGUGCACACACCCUGUCCAGAGAGAGGCUGUCUGCAUUAUUUUACCUGGAGGGACUGGCAGGAAUUGAACAACACCAACCUUUACAGUCUUGUGAAGGAGGAAAAAUUAGUUUGCCAGGGAGGCCAUACACGACGAACAGAACUGAUUUUUCCAAAAGCUGCCACUUUGCAGUGA
rnacentral:lncRNA from 1 species